rnacentral:rRNA from 1 species
AGAGUUUGAUCCUGGCUCAGAUUGAACGCUGGCGGCAUGCCUUACACAUGCAAGUCGAACGGCAGCGCGGGCUUCGGCCUGGCGGCGAGUGGCGAACGGGUGAGUAAUACAUCGGAACGUGCCCUGUCGUGGGGGAUAACUAGUCGAAAGAUUAGCUAAUACCGCAUACGACCUGAGGGUGAAAGCGGGGGACCGCAAGGCCUCGCGCGAUAGGAGCGGCCGAUGUCUGAUUAGCUAGUUGGUGGGGUAAAGGCCUACCAAGGCGACGAUCAGUAGCUGGUCUGAGAGGACGAUCAGCCACACUGGGACUGAGACACGGCCCAGACUCCUACGGGAGGCAGCAGUGGGGAAUUUUGGACAAUGGGGGCAACCCUGAUCCAGCAAUGCCGCGUGUGUGAAGAAGGCCUUCGGGUUGUAAAGCACUUUUGUCCGGAAAGAAAUGGCUCUGGCUAAUACCCGGGGUCGAUGACGGUACCGGAAGAAUAAGCACCGGCUAACUACGUGCCAGCAGCCGCGGUAAUACGUAGGGUGCGAGCGUUAAUCGGAAUUACUGGGCGUAAAGCGUGCGCAGGCGGUUUGAUAAGACAGGCGUGAAAUCCCCGGGCUCAACCUGGGAAUGGCGCUUGUGACUGUCAUGCUAGAGUGCGUCAGAGGGGGGGUA